rnacentral:rRNA from 1 species
GCUUGCGGGGUUCCUACAUUGGAAGUCGAGCGGUAGCACAGAGAGCUUGCUCUCGGGUGACGAGCGGCGGACGGGUGAGUAAUGUCUGGGAAACUGCCUGAUGGAGGGGGAUAACUACUGGAAACGGUAGCUAAUACCGCAUAACGUCGCAAGACCAAAGUGGGGGACCUUCGGGCCUCAUGCCAUCAGAUGUGCCCAGAUGGGAUUAGCUAGUAGGUGGGGUAACGGCUCACCUAGGCGACGAUCCCUAGCUGGUCUGAGAGGAUGACCAGCCACACUGGAACUGAGACACGGUCCAGACUCCUACGGGAGGCAGCAGUGGGGAAUAUUGCACAAUGGGCGCAAGCCUGAUGCAGCCAUGCCGCGUGUGUGAAGAAGGCCUUCGGGUUGUAAAGCACUUUCAGCGGGGAGGAAGGCGUUAAGGUUAAUAACCUUGGCGAUUGACGUUACCCGCAGAAGAAGCACCGGCUAACUCCGUGCCAGCAGCCGCGGUAAUACGGAGGGUGCAAGCGUUAAUCGGAAUUACUGGGCGUAAAGCGCACGCAGGCGGUCUGUCAAGUCGGAUGUGAAAUCCCCGGGCUCAACCUGGGAACUGCAUUCGAAACUGGCAGGCUAGAGUCUUGUAGAGGGGGGUAGAAUUCCAGGUGUAGCGGUGAAAUGCGUAGAGACCUGAGGAAUACCGGUGGCGAAGCGGCCCCUGGACAAAGACUGACGCUCAGGUCGAAACCUGGGGAGCAAACAGGAUAAUACCCGGUAGCCCACCC